AGAACGAACGCUGGCGGCAUGCCUAAUACAUGCAAGUCGAACGAACUCUUCGGAGUUAGUGGCGCACGGGUGCGUAACGCGUGGGAAUCUGCCCCUUGGUUCGGAAUAACAGGUUGGAAACGACUGCUAAUACCGGAUGAUGACGAAAGUCCAAAGAUUUAUCGCCAAGGGAUGAGCCCGCGUAGGAUUAGCUAGUUGGUGAGGUAAAGGCUCACCAAGGCGACGAUCCUUAGCUGGUCUGAGAGGAUGAUCAGCCACACUGGGACUGAGACACGGCCCAGACUCCGUACGGGAGGCAGCAGUAGGGAAUA
rnacentral:rRNA from 1 species